rnacentral:piRNA from 1 species
UGCAGAAUCCUGUAAUGCCUAUGAAA